GGACGAUCUACCACUUUCUUUUAUAUUUCAACUUCUUGCUGCGCGGAACAACACUAAAGGAUUUAAACGUUUAAUUACCCUAUAGCGCUAUUGGUUUGGCAACGACUGCGGCAAUAAGAAGUGCUUUUCGUCAAAAAUUUAACUCCGACGAAGAAGUUUCUAUUUCCGUUUCAAAAGCCUAUCGGCAAAAAAGAUAAAAAAUAAAUUCAGC